rnacentral:tRNA from 1 species
GCCACCCUAGCUCAGUGGUAGAGCAGCGGUUUCGUAAACCGCAGGUCGUCGGUUCAAUCCCGAUGGGUGGCUCCA